GGUGAGCGAGCUGAGUCCUGAUUGGAGCGCAAUGCCUUUCUGGCUUGAUCUAGCCGACUGAGUGACGUCAGGACUGCGGGCGGACAUUUUGGAAGCGGCUCUGAGCACGUGUAGGAGCUGCUGGGCAGUUGUUAACUGUCUGAUACCCCAACGUGCAAAGGAAUCUUCUCCGUCUGCGUUUUGAGACAACCGAAAACAUAAAAAUUUGAGGUCUACAGCCCCUGAAUAUAAGACCAAAGAAAGUCCUUUCACGUGGAAAUGUAGUUUGCUGUCCAGUGUUACAAAAUUUAAAUCCAUCCGUGGUAGGAGUUACUGUAGUUGCUAAGUUACUGCUGGUUCCAGACUACCCGUGGAUAGUCGGUAUUUUUCUGCAGUGAUCAGCUUAUGUAGUGACAAUUUACCUAGUAAGUCAAUCAUGUUGGCAAGGAGCGGUGAAGAGGAGCUAGCACUGUUUUUUUUUUUUUUUUAGUUUGGGGAAAAAAAACACUCGGUUUUACACCCAACAUAUACUGAAUGCACCAAAGGCCACGGCGAUUCGAACUGCACGUUCCAAGAUUUUAAAUUGGUAGACGGGAGGGGUCGCCCAGGUCACCUCUCCGUGGACUGAGUCAGCCUUGCAGUUAGGAGACUCAGGCCUAAGACAUUCCAAACCAUCCGGGGUCUGGCACUUAGGUGCUUUACUGGAGCCUGAAAACUCUGAGCCAACCCUAUCCUGACCCUGCCUAGGUCUGCAGUCGCUGAAUGAGGCGCUGAGCCCUGCGCAGACAGGUGAGGACCGACUGCAGGUGAAAGCUGGGCUCAGAAGGCGGGGUACACUAUGUCUCCAAGGCACUUGCCAGUGGGGACUGCAA